ACCUUUGUCAAAUAUCAGGUGGCUGAAACUGCAUGUACUCAGGUCAAGUUGGGAGAAACUGACAUCCUGACAACAUUGGAUCUUCCUCUCCAUGAUGUGUGCAAUGUCUCUCCCUUUGUUUAUUUCUUCUAUAAUGUCUUUACUCAGAGUUUGGUUGUUUGCCUCAUAUACAACUUGCAUGUAUUUUGUCAGAUUUAUAUUUAUGUAUUUCAACUUUUUGGUGUCAGUGCGAAUAGUGUUGAGCUUUUAGUUUCAAGUUUAACUUACUCAUGGUGCUAUUAAUAUCUGAAAUACAAAAAGUGGAGUACUGAUAAAUCCUACAGAUGUAAAAAAGUAUGAUGAGAUGCUAUUUCCCUCUACCAUAACCAAAGACCAAGAAGGAAAGGAGACUGUAGGCCAAUAUUCCGUCUAAACACAGACACAAGUGGUGUUUCCACAGAAUCUGGCAGGGUUUGAUGGGAUAAAGGCAUCAUGGCCAAGUUGGAUUUACCUCAGAAAUGUAAGACAGCUUCACAUCUGAAAAUAAAUAGAAGAAAUUUACAGAAUAAUCUCAAUUCAGGAAAACAAAAAAGAUUUCAUAUCAGUAGAUAUAGGAAAACAUUUGAUAUAAUUCAGCACUCAUUAUUAAAAAAAAAAAAAAAAGACCCUCU